AUUCGUUUGCUCGCAAGGGAGCCAUCUUAAAUCAAAAUCACAAUCGCUUGAGUGUGAUGAAACUAAACACUCUCAGUCAGCCAUAUCUAACGCGUACGAUGGCCCUAAUAUCGUGUAUAAGAAUGCAAAUACUGUCACUGAUACGGCUGGCCUGGUUAAAAGUAAGCAAGGUAAACAGGAUAGUAUUUAUCACCGUUUGUCUGAUCCUGUACUGACUAAUCAUUUAUCUCAGACGGAACAGAUCGCACUGAGUAAUGAUUGUGGUUGUACAUGUAGAGUUUUGGCCGCCGAACUGGAAGGGGUAAAAUUGGAUUUAGUUAUCAUGCAAACGAAUUUUGAGAAUAAGUUAGACUCCGUUAUUGGCAAAUUUGUAGACGGGCACUCAAAUAUAAACCAACUUAAACAUG
rnacentral:lncRNA from 1 species